AAGAAUUAAAACCUAAGUUUCUCUUCUUCAAAUCACCCGAUUCCCCUCUUCCUUCAUUCCCCUCCGAUCUCUCUCACUCGCACGAAGCUACUUCCCUUCUCCUCCGAUUUGCCGAUCACUGCCACCGCCCUCUUCUCGAUGUCACCACUGACCACCAGAGCCCAACGUCUGUCGCCAGCCAUGGCAAGCCUUGAUCGCGAGGCGCUAGUGCCGAGAGGCCUUCGAGUGCCACCUCUCGGGGCAAAAAUCAUCGUCUCCUCCAUGCGAAGUCAACUUGGUGACAUCAUAGAUUUGUCGCUGCCAUCUCACCACCAGUUGUGUAGGAGCCGCCUUCGCCGAUCUACUUCUCUAUGUGAGCCGUGAGGUCCUUGCUGAUCGUCAAUCGCCGGUGCCAACGUUCCAAGCCGGUUGACUGUCACCAGUGAGGCUCUCCCUCCACCAUCGCUCCCUUCUUUUCUCCCGAUUGCCGAGAGCCCCUUUUUGUUCCCGAUUUCCAGCUGAUGAUGUCUUGGCUACAACUGACGCCGAUCCUUUCCUUAGAGUCGGUGCCCUAGUGCUAUCUCCACUCUGUCUUCUGGUUGGCUCGCCACCACAGCAGUGAACCUCUGGCAGAAACAAGUUGUUGGAUCAACCCUUGUAGCUCCAUCCUUGGUUCCGACAGUAGCUCCACCAGGUCACCCUUUCCAGUAGCAAGGUCCACUGACAGUGAAUCAACAAGGGAACAUCUAAGAUUCGGGAUGAUGAUUGGAAACAAGCAUCUCAACGUGGGAGUUGUAUUGACAUGAUCUACAUAUUAAAGGCGGGUAUUUCUUCCUUGGUCUCUUUAGUUCUUUGAACUUAGUGCAUGGUAGUUUUUGAUUGAUGGGUUAGGUUGCUUUACCUUAAAUCUUUCUGUAUUAUUAUCCUACUUGAUACUUAUACUUGACCUUUGAGAUGAUCUAUUUAUAUCACAUACAGUCUUGACUUUUGAAUAUCUAUACUCUAUUGUGUAUUCACAUGUAGAGUAUGUAUGGUAGGAUACGUCUUGUUGACUGAGUUAACAUACUGAUUAUGCAAAUGAUGUUAUGUGUACACAUGUUUGGUAUGUGUCAUAGGAGUUAUCAUGUUGACCGUGCAUUUAUAUAUUGUAUGUGUACACAUGUCCGGUGUUAUCUAUUGGAGGUUUCAUGUUGAUUGUAUCUAUGUUGUGUGCACAUGUAUCAGAUGUGUACUAUUGGAAGAUCAUGUUGAUAAUACCUAUGUUAGUGAUUGUAUGUGUUUGGUGUGAUAUUGGAGGUAUCAUGAUUAUACCUAUGUGGUUGUGUGCAUAUGUAUCUAGAAUGACUAUUGGAGGUUUCUUGUUGAUUAUACCUACGUUGUAGGGUGCAUACGUGUGUAGUGUGUACAUGUCUGGUGUGGUUACUUAUUGUACUUGUUAUUUAGAGGAUACCUAUUGGAUCUACCCAUACCUAUCGAUAAAAGUGAUUGAUGGAUCAUGUAUUAGAGAUACUUAUGUAGAUUGGGGAUGUUGCAUUGAUGAUGAUUGUGUUAGUAUCAUGAUUAUUUACAUCAUGUUCAUCAUUGCAUUGCAUGCUGAUGACCAUUGUCUUCCUUGUGGUGUGAGAGAGUCGUUAGUCAUUUUAGCACCGCACACUCGACCACUCAUGGGUAGUGGUAGCUGGAGCAGUUGCCGCUUGCCCUGUCAUGCUCACUUAGCCGCUUAGUGUUAUACUCUGUCAGCCUCGGCCACUCAUGAGUAGUGAUAUCUGGAGGGUACAGUAGUCAGGGGGCUAAAGAUGUGAGUAGUCAGGGACCCUGAUGUUAUGUAGCUAGAUAGCUACUUAGCGAACUGUUCGCCUCAGCUGCUAUAUAGUAGCAUCUGGAGGGUAGUACAAUUGUCAUAGAUCCAAGUCUCUCGACCAUACAAGGGUCGUGGUGUCUGAAGAGGUGGCGGGGUUGACCAUGGAGCAUGCAUGCGCAUUUGCAUAUGAUGCGCGGUGCAUCUAUGGAGAUAUAUUUGCAUACAUGUCUAGUAGAUACUAGCUACAUGUAAUUGUGAUAUGUUGCACUUAUUUGAUCUAUGAUUGUUUCAUAUGGUUGCUAUGCUGCAUAUAUGUCAUUUAUUAUACAUGUAUAUACUGUCGGUUAUAUUGCUCAUGUGUCACAAACAGAUCUAUUGCUGAUCCCUGGUGAGUUUACUGAUUAUUAUAUCGUAUGUGUCGAUUCCAAAUUGAGUAUGUGUAUUUAUUAUGUCAUUUACGAUCUUGACCUUAUAUGUUAGUACUAGAUUGGGCAGGUUCAUUUACUAUGACAUUAUGAUCAUGAUAUUAUGUGUUGGAUUCAGAUUGGGUAUGUACAUUUAUUAUGUCAGUUUAUGAUCAUGUUCUUAUUUCCCUAAUGAGACUGUAUACUUUGAUCUCCAUAUUUUAUUUUGACCAUGCACUAUCUUAUCUAUUACCCGUUGAGUGACCUACACUCACCACCACAAUUCUAUGUCGUCUUUUU